rnacentral:rRNA from 1 species
GAUUGAAAGCUGGCGUCUUCGGCGUCCGCAUUGUAAUCUCAAGAAGUGUUUUCCGCUUCGGACCAUGCCUAAGUCCCUUGGAAAAGGGCAUCAUAGAGGGUGAUAAUCCCGUACAUGGCAUGGAGCGCCCGAAGCUUUGUGAUACGCUUUCUAAGAGUCGAGUUGUUUGGGAAUGCAGCUCAAAAUGGGUGGUAAAUGCCAUCUAAGGCUAAAUAUUGGGGAGAGACCGAUAGCGAACAAGUACAGUGAUGGAAAGAUGAAAAGAACUUUGAAAAGAGAGUUAAACAGUACGUGAAAUUGCCAAAAGGGAAGGGUAGGAGGUCAGAGAUGCGGCCUGGGAUUCAGCCUUGCUUUUGCUUGGUGUUUUUCCCAGAUUGCAGGCCAACGUCGGUUUUGGGCACUGGAGAAGGGUAGGAGGAACGUGGCACCUCUCGGGGUGUGUUAUAGCCUCCUACUGGAUACAGCGACCGAGACCGAGGACAGCAGCGUACUCGCAAGAGCGGGCCUUCGGGCACCUUUACGCUUAGGGCGUUGGCAUAAUGGCCCUCUACCACCCGUCUUGA